rnacentral:rRNA from 1 species
UCCAGACUCCUACGGGAGGCAGCAGUGGGGGAUAUUGCACAAUGGGGGGAACCCUGAUGCAGCGACGCCGCGUGGGUGAAGGAGCGUUUCGGCGCGUAAAGCCCUCUCGGCAGGGAAGAAGGAGGACGGUACCUGACUAAGAAGCCCCGGCUAACUACGUGCCAGCAGCCGCGGUAAUACGUAGGGGGCAAGCGUUAUCCGGAUUUACUGGGUGUAAAGGGGGCGCAGACGGCAGCGCAAGCCAGGAGUGAAAGCCCGGGGCCCAACCCCGGGACUGCUCUUGGAACUGCGCGGCUGGAGUGCAGGAGGGGCAGGCGGAAUUCCUGGUGUAGCGGUGAAAUGCGUAGAUAUCAGGAGGAACACCGGUGGCGAAGGCGGCCUGCUGGACUGCGACUGACGUUGAGGCCCGAAAGCGUGGGGAGCAAACAGGAUUAGAUACCCCGGUACC